rnacentral:misc_RNA from 1 species
ACAGAGUGAGGGUAUACGACAUGAGGGCCGGCGUCGGAGGCGGCGGCGGCGGAGGAGAGGUGGUGGGUGGGUGGUAAAAGGCCAUUGGUCGGCGAUGUGGUGGGACUCUGAUGGUGGUGUUGAUGGUGGUGGUGGUGCUGCUGGUGGGGGUGGAGCAUCCGUCAGAAUGCUUCCGCCGAAUCCGGCGGGGAUUUUGAACCAUCGUAAGAGUUAUCCACCGGCGAAGAGUUUUAGAGCAGCACCGUCGUGGAAAGCCGCCA